CGGCCAUAGCGGGUGAUAGCCCCGUACACGAAAUCUCACUGGUGGUACUAAGCAUACGACAAGUAGGGCGGGACACGAGAAAUCCUGUCUGAAUAUGGGGGGACCAUCCUCCAAGGCUAAAUACUACUGACUGACCGAUAGUGAACCAGUACCGUGAGGGAAAGGCGAAAAGAACCCCGGUGAGGGGAGUGAAAUAGAUCCUGAAACCGCAUGCAUACAAGCAGUGGGAGCCGACUUGUUCGGUGACUGCGUACCUUUUGUAUAAUGGGUCAGCGACUUAUAUUCUGUAGCAAGGUUAACCGAAUAGGGGAGCCGUAGGGAAACCGAGUCUUAAUAGGGCGUCUAGUUGCAGGGUAUAGACCCGAAACCGAGUGAUCUAUCCAUGAGCAGGUUGAAAGUGACGUAACAGUUACCGGAGGACCGAACCCACUG
rnacentral:rRNA from 14 species